AGCAGCGCUAACGUUGCAUACUUUGCUAUCAGAUUUAGCUACAAGGAAGGACCUGUGAGUUUAGCUGAGAAUCUGGUACGGCUGAAUGGGUGAACCUAAAUGCAAAACACAGCUACAAGUGAUAAAGUGAUGAUUUAUUAGGGAGGUGAGGGUUCUGGCAGGCGGAGGCUGAGGGCAAAGAGGGAGUGAGGCUUUGCAGAGAAGACCAGAGGAGGCUAAGCCGUGAGCGGGGUUGGACGACUGGCCAGCAGACAGGAGAAGGAGACACUUCUAAACUAGGGCCUAAAAGACCCUGAGGACACUCCUGCUGUAGGCUGCCAACAAGUUGGAGGAUGGCUACGGUUGAAGAGAUCAGUGGUAGCUGUGGCUGAGGCAGCAACACGGACUGAAGAAGACUGGAGAACACGUCAGAGAUCAUUAUGAGCUGCACUGAUAUGCACCGUGGCUAUGAAGACCCUGGUGCCGUCCAGGACGUCGACCGGCGACUGCCAGGGCCUCGGGAAACAUGACAAGGAAGGAAGGAGAAAUUUCCCAUUAACUCAGGAAAUUGGUACAAGCUGUGCUGCCACACAAUCCAAUCAGCUUUCUUAUUUUACUGACUGCACAGUCUGACACAUGCUUGCAACUAAGUGGUACUUUGUUUUUAGAUUCACCAUUACCCAGAACAGGUUCCAGCCAUUUCCUUCUACUUCCUCAAUAGGAUAAAAAAGACUAAUGUCAUGUGCUAAACUAGUUUUUUUAAUUAAAAAAAUACAAGAAAUGGAAACAUAUAUUUGUCGCGUGAAUGUUCGUCUGUGAGGUAUUACAUUGUGUUGACUCUUUUUGAAACAAGCAAAACAACAAAUAUGUUUUGUUGAAUUGUAGCAAAUAGAAUAAGGACGAGUGUCACUUUAAAACAAUUCUAAACCAGACCUGCAGUCAGGGGGCGGGUCAGUGGGUA